CUAUACAGCUAUUUUUGAGAGUAUCUUAUGUGCAAGGCCAUGUGCUCAAUAUUCUGAGGACACAGAGACAAAAUACAUUUGGACAAUGCCUGCAAGGAGCUCACCCUCUAGCACAGGAGAAUAAAAACAGGAUCAGAGAGAUUGAGCCAUUUGCUUAAGGCUACACAGCUAGUAAGUGGUAUAGCUGGGAUUUGAACUCAGUUCUGCCUGAUCCCAGAGCCCCACUUCUUAGUGCUGAAUGUUGCCUCUAAAGGUUUCGUCCAAUGACUGACUGCUCGUGAACAUAUGAGAUCUGGCUAAAGAAUCGGGAUUUUCUGGGCCUCAGCAGGUGAUGAGAAAGGCAUGAGAACAGGCUGGAAGGAGAAUGAGGCACCGAGAGGCCCAAGCUGAAAGAAAUAAAGACUUCCAGUACAUCACCCUGACAGUAAAGAGCGAAGGAAAAGUGACGUCUGAGAACUACAAUGUGUUCUGCUUGAACAAAAGGAAGUUGGGCUGUGAUAAUAUAAUUCUGGAUUCCAUGGAAUGUUGUGGCUCAGAGAGGCAAGAGAUAAAAGACAGAGAAACAAUAUAGUGGAAUGUUCAGGGACCCUACUUGGCCCUCCCAGCAGCCACUGGCAAGGACCAUAGGACACAACAGAGACCGCCCUUUAGGGCAGAAGGGGAGCUGGUUUUCUCUCCAGGCUCACAGAUUGUCAAAUAUUAAGAAGUUGGAUGAAGAGCCAGUACUAAUCGUGGUGUAGGAAAAUGGACACGCUCACACACUGUUGCUAAGAAGAAAAAAACUCUGAGGUGUGAAAGCAAGUUCUUCUGGAGAAUUCCACCUGGCCAAAUGCAAUCUGCUUCUCAAAGGAAGCCUAUAGAAGUCAACUCCGGGUGCGUUUGCAAAAUUGCCCUUUACUAAUUUGGAGACGUAAGGUCUGAGAGCUUGAGUUUCUACAGAGAGAGUUGUGUGGGACCAAAACAGUCCUGGGAAUGGUUUUAAAGCUUCAUUAAGAUAAAACUCACAGAGAAAUGUUAGAAAGAUCUCAGUUCUCAUUAUACACUUUGUAAAAAAAUGUCUUUAUGGAUCAUUCAGUGUGGGCAAAGAAAAUGUAGGCGGAAAGGAAAUUUCCCAUUUAAUUAGCUGUGGUAGGCAGAAUUCUAAGACAGCCCCCAAGAUUCCUGUCCCCUGGUAUACAUGCCCUGUGUAAUCUCCUCCUCUUGAGUGUGGGCGGGGCUUGUGAAUAUGAUGUGUUUUCACUCCUGUGAUCACGUUAUGUUCUAUGGCA